rnacentral:rRNA from 1 species
UACGGAGGGUGCAAGCGUUAUCCGGAUUCACUGGGUUUAAAGGGUGCGUAGGUGGGCAGGUAAGUCAGUGGUGAAAUCUCCAGGCUUAACUUGGAAACUGCCAUUGAUACUAUCAAUCUUGAAUACCGUGGAGGUCAGCGGAAUAUGUCAUGUAGCGGUGAAAUGCUUAGAUAUGACAUAGAACACCAAUUGCGAAGGCAGCUGGCUACACGAAUAUUGACACUGAUGCACGAAAGCGUGGGGAUCAAACAGG